GGAGAGGUGGCCGAGUUGGUCGAAGGCGACGGUCUCGAAAACCGUUAUAUCUGCAAAGGUAUCGAGGGUUCGAAUCCCUCCCUCUCCG
rnacentral:tRNA from 1 species